rnacentral:rRNA from 1 species
CCUACGGGAGGCAGCAGUAGGGAAUAUUGCUCAAUGGGGGAAACCCUGAAGCAGCAACGCCGCGUGGAGGAUGAAGGUUUUAGGAUUGUAAACUCCUUUUGUUAGAGAAGAUUAUGACGGUAUCUAACGAAUAAGCACCGGCUAACUCCGUGCCAGCAGCCGCGGUAAUACGGAGGGUGCCAGCGUUACUCGGAAUCACUGGGCGUAAAGAGUGCGUAGGCGGGGUAAUAAGUCCGAUGUGAAAUCCUGUAGCUUAACUACAGAACUGCAUUUGAAACUGUUACUCUUGAGUGUGGGAGAGGUAGGUGGAAUGCUUGGUGUAGGGGUGAAAUCCGUAGAGAUCAAGAGGAAUACUCAUUGCGAAGGCGACCUGCUGGAACACUACUGACGCUGAUGCACGAAAGCGUGGGGAGCGAACAGGAUUAGAUACCCCAGUAGUC